GUUUGACCCUACAGGCAUUGGGAGCUCAGCCAAGAAUGCAAAUGCUUUUCAGAGACUGCGGGGACUGUGGGAUAGCUGGAGUCCUCAGUACCCCCUCCCUCCCUCCAUGAGCGUCCAUUUGAUUCUUUGGCUUUCCAUUACGCUUGUCACACAGCACUGUGCUGUGGACUCUGUAUCAUAGCCUGGAGAUUCUUUCAAAUGCUUUAUCAUUUUGUCUUCUGUAACGGAGCUCUGAUAGAACAGAUUUGUCUCCCCAUACAGCGAUCAGAUCCAGUAUCUCCCGUACAGUCCAUGCUGGAGCUCUUUUUGGAUUUGGGACUGCAUCGCCACCCGUGCUGAUCGGAGCUCCACACUGGGCAAACAGGAAAUGAAAUUCAAAAGUUCAUGGGGUUUUUCCUGUCUACCUGGCCAAUGCAUCCGAGUUCAAAUUGCUUUCCAGAGCGGUCACAAUGAUGCACUGUGGGAUACUGCCUGGAGGCCAAUACCAUCGAUUUGCGGCCACACUAACCCUAAUCCGACAGGGCAAUAUCGAUUUCAGCGCUACUCCUCUCGUCGGGGAGGAGUACAGAAACCGGUUUAAAGAGCCUUUUAUAUCUAUAUAAAAGGCCUCGUUGUGUGGACAGGUGCAGGGUUAAAUCGGUUUAACGCUGCUAAAUUCGGUUUAAACGUGUAGUGUAGACCAGGCCCAAGAAAGCUUCCCUUUCUGUGCCUGACCUUUAAGGACGCCAGGUUUGAGCAGGGAUGACUCAUGGCUCCCAGUGGACUCUCAGACAGGGCCUGGACAGGAAGCAUUUCUCACCAUGCCAGGGGCCUGCAGGGAGGAAACUCUUUGUUCUCCACACAAAUGAUAUGGUUCGAGUAUUUUAUUGUUGAUUAAAGGCCCAGCCACAGGCCCUGUCCAGGAUAUCCUUGCUACCUUCUGUCCAAAGACACCUGUUCUGUUCCGACAGGCUCUGAGCUCCAGCAGAGAUGACAGACGAGCUCCUCUUUCUUGUGCCACACUCAAAAUUGUGUACCAGACCAUCUGGCAUGUGCGAGGGCUUCCCACUGAGACCAGUGCCAGCUCCACACCACGCACCCAGUGUGGUGCAAAGGAGCUCUCCGGAUUGUAGCAGUUGGACAGUCAGAGAAAGGACAGACAGAGCAGAAACGAUUCUUGCUCCAGAGCCAGAUCUGAGGGGCCUGCCCUCUGCCCUGCGUCACAGGGGAUGUCUCGGCAGAGUUCUCCAUGCGUAAGGGGGACAUUUUGGUGAUCUUAGAGGGAGCGGUGGCUUCAGAAGGACCAGCAGGUGUGCAGGAACAUCCUGAGCCACUGCAUGAGAGAAUCCAGUUAGGUUCCCUCUGGGGCCUUCUAUACUCCCAGGGCUGCCAUGCAGGCUUGCCUUUGUGUUGCACCAGAGAAGGAAGGCAGUGGGCUCUGGGACUAGGUGUGAAGGCAGUAUGCAGGCGGCUGUGCUGGGCCAUGGAAUGAACUCCCCUGCGGAGCAAAGGACAGUCCCAAGCCUCACCACCUUCUACUCCAAUUCCAGGCACACUUUUCCAACAGGCCUUCUCUCCCAGAAACACAGAGCAGCUGCAGGUCUAGCAAACCCAGCCAAAGCCUACCAGAACUAACGCUCCACUGCACACAGACUUCUCCCCAAGGCAAGAGGAGGAGAUGGAAAACAAGCCACGUGGGACAGAUGGCAUCUACCUCUGGGGAAGGUAGUGCAUGACCUCUCAUAGAACAGAAUAGAGAACACAGAGCUCAUCCUGGGAAGCAGGGGGUUGUGCUGGGAAGCAGAGGGCUGUGCUGGGAUGCAGAGGGUUGUGCUGGGAUACAGGCAGCUGGGCUGGGAAGGAGGCUGCUGGGCUGGGAUACAAAUAACUGUGCUGGGAUGAAGGCGGCUGUGCUGGGAUGCCCUGCUGCACAGUCCAGCAAUGAGGAUCCUGUGUGAUCUGGGGGAGGGAAAAUAUCUGCAUGCUGGAGAGCUAACUGAAAUGAUGGCACAGAUGUGGGGACUCAGGGAGGGGGCCACCGCGGUGUGCUGGAGCUGUCUAGGAGUUGGCCACUGAUCCCGGAACUGGAGUGCCCGGUCAUUGCUUCCUUGGGUGAACUGUUUUACAGGUGGUUUUACGAGCGGUUUGGCUUUUCAGAAGAGCGAAUGGGGAGGAUUUUGCUGAGUUGGGAACAAGAGAGCAAUUGUAAUGUCUUUAUAGGCUUCUCAGCAGAGAGAAACAUGGUCUCGCGGGGCUGCCAAGGGGAAAACAGCAGGGAAAACAAAGGGAAACUAGCAGCAAAUUGCUGGGGCGGAACAGGCUGUUGAUCAGAGGGACAAGUGGUAAUCAACACGCCGGGUUUUCUGCUGGGCCCCUGCAGAAAUGACAAGAAAAUUCACCAUUGUAGGAACUGGACAAGAAACUCCUCCUGCUGCCAUCCUCAGAGCUGGCAGGAGCACAGACAGGUUAUUUUCCAUCUUCCCUGCCCUCACCACAGGAGCUGGACUCUGCUUCGCAGGGGCAGACUGGAUAAAACAGUAGAUUAUAUUGAAAACUUUUAAGUAGCUCCUAUUUCGUUCUACAACUGCUUGGGAGCCAAAGCCAUGCUCCACCCGUCCCUUCACACUCAGACGUCAGGAGACUGGGGGCUGGUCUACACUACGGGGGAAAAUCGAUCUCAGAUACGCAACUUCAGCUACGUGAAUAACGUAGCUGAAGUCGAAGUAUCUAAGAUCGAAUUACUCACCGUCCUCACGGCGCGGGAUCGAUGUCCACGGCUUCCCAUGUCGACUUUGCAACUCCGUUCGGGUUGGUAGAGUUCUGGAAUCGAUAUAAGCGUGUUCGGGGAUCGAUAUAUCGUGUCUAGAUGAGACGCGAUAUAUCAAUCCCCGAGCAAUCGAUUGCUACCCGCCGAUACGGCGGGUAGUGAAGACGUAGCCUGAGAAGAACAGACUUAGGAGUGAGGCCUAGAUGGAAUCCAUUUAGCCAUAUUAGGCCCUUAGCCGGCCCCCAUCAUUGCACUAUCUGGGCCCUCCCAGCGUUUAGUGGAUUUACUCUCAUGCACCUGGAGGGUGGGGGAGAGGUGAGUUGCUAGGGCAGCCUGGAAAUUUUCCAUCAACCUUUUUUUUGAUGGAAAACUGGAUUCCCAUCAAGAUGAAAAUUUGCAUCGGAAGUGUCAGCUUUCCUCGAAAACUUCUGAUUUUUCACCAGAAACCCAAAGCCUGGACACUUCAGUUUUCAGCAGCAAAACUUGGGGUUUGGGGUUUUCAUUUUCAGAUGAAAAGUCAUUUUUUUUCCACCGAAAAUCUUGAUGAAAAUAAAAAAAGAAAUUGUUUCCAACCAAAUUUUCUGCAACCCCCCCUCCCCAUUUUCUGCCCCGGUCCUCCUCAUGCCACCAAAAGUCCCUAAUGUGAUGCCAGUUGUGAUGGUGCAAAUGAGGGGAGAAGGUCCUUGCAGCAAAGUGGUCCCUUUAUAGGUUAAAACCAACCCCUUGAAUUGCACCAGGAACCAGAUGGGAAGCCAGUGUGCACAGAGCGCAGCUGGAAUGCAAGUCGAGGCAGCAUCCAGGAACAAGCAGAAUGUGCAGAAGCCUACUCCCCAAAUGGGCAGUCGGACGGAUUUGAUUUUCUCUCUGGCUUAGCCCUGCUCUUAUUUCAGUUUCAGGCCCCCCCUGCAAUACACGAGACAAGCUACCCAGAAACACUGCGUAGCUCCAUAAACAGAAAAGCCCUUCAGCUGCCCAGCCAAGUACUGUGAAAGGCAGGGCCGGCUCUAGGCACCAGUGCUCCAAGCAUGUGCUUGGGGCGGCACUUUCCAAGGGGUGGCACUCCGGCUCCUUUUUUUUGCUUGGGGCACAAAAAGCCGGGAGCUGGCCCUGAGCGGAGGUGUGCAGCGGUGGUGGGGGGUGUGGGGAAGGCUGCAGGAUGUAACCGGGGGGGGCAGAGGAACCGCUGCCCCCCAACUCACCUCUGCUCCACUGCUGCCUGCUCCCCCAAGCAUGCCGCCGCUCCACUUCUCCCCCCUCUCUUCCAAGCUUGCCACACUAAUCAGCUGUUUUGCGGCAAAGCCUGGGAGGGAAGGGGGAGAAGUGGAGCAGUGGCGGCACGCUCAGGGGAGCAGGCAGAGCAGAGGUGAGCUGCAGUGGUAGGAGGCGUGGGGAGGGUCGCAGGAAGUAACCCUGGGGGGCAGAGGAACCGCUCGCCCCACCAGCUCACCUCUGCCUCCUCCCCCAAGUGCGCCGCCACUCUGUUUCUUCCUCGUCCCUCCCAGGCAAGCCUGAGAGGGAGGGAUAGGAGGGGAAAUGCGGCACACCCAGGGGAGGAGGCGGGGCCGGGGAUUUGGGGAAGGGGUUGGAAUGGGGCGGGAAAGGGUUGGGGUUGGGGCAGGGCCGAGGGGGGGUCCGGGAAAAUUUUUUUGCUUGGGGCAGCAAAAAACUUGAUGAAAGGAAGCUCACAAAUGUCCCCAGAGGAUGGCAGCACUUUGCAGCAGACAUGGAGGUUGGUGACCAGCACUAGUGUGGUUUGGGAUCCUGGGCAGGAGGAACUGCGGGGCUGCUGGACUACUUGUAGUUGCAAAGCACAGCACCCUGUUCCUCUGGAGCAGCCCUUCAGAUGGACACACCGACAGGAACUGACCGAGAGCUCCCAGCAGCUGGAGAGGGAGAUGAGUCACUGGAAAGGUGACAGCUGCAAGGCAGGGAGUCCAAGGUCAUAGAGAGGACCAAAGUCAGGAGCAAGGACUCGGCGCAGCACUGAGCUGUUCGUCGGGAGGAGCUCAACAAAAGAGCAGUUAUCUCAAAUGAUCAGAGAGGCAGCUGGAACUUGCAGGCAUCCUGCAGCAGUAGUAACACUGUGCACGGUCACAUGCAUGGCAAUGCCAGGGCACCUCACCUCCCUUCAGUCCUCCUGGGUGUCUCCCAGCUUAAGAACAGCAGCAAAUGGGCCUCAUUCUGUUGCAAUCUUCUUUGUGUUUCCCUUGUUCCCUGGAGUAUGUGCUGGUGCUGUCUGCACUGGACAGUCAUUCGCAGUGCAGCUUGUCGGCGGGUGUCACUGCACUGAUGUCAGUGACGGGCUGUGCUGAUCUACACAGCUCAGGAGCUGGUCUGUGCUAGUAAUGGGGAACCAAGGAAAAUGGGCUGGGAAGGGUCUAGUAGGUGGCAUUGGUUUGUUCUGUACCUGGGGGAUGUUUUUGGUUGAAGCAAGACUGGGCGACCAGAGAAAUCCACAUUGUCCAGAGAUGGAUAAACAGAACUGGAGCUGGUGACCCUUAGCCCUGGCACCUGGCCAAACCAAUAAACAUGUUUGACGUGCAGCGGCACCCAGCUACCAGGGCAGCAGGCUAGUUCCUAGUGUGCUGCCGUCAGAGCAUCCUGUCUAGGGAAAUAUAUCCAAAGAUAUUCCAGAAAGGCCCAUGUGUCAUAAACCGCUCGCAUCCUGAGCUUUCCAGCAACACUGGCAGCUAUUAGUAAAUGUCCUUUUAACCCAGAGCGCUAUUUCCUAGUAGCCAUCCUAGGAAAUGAACUGCCAGAUUUAAAGUACCCUUUCUCUUGUAUUGGGUUAUAGAUUUCCCCGCUCACUACAUAAUUUAAAAUAAAUUAAAAGCCUGUCAGCUCUGCUCAGUUUCUGGAGUGUAAUAACUUCCAGGAGUGAUGCAUUUAGCACUGACUUGACAAUUACUUUAUUAUGAAGCACUAAUAAUCCUAAAGAAAGACAAAGGGCUAGAUCUUCAGUAACGCAAAUAGCUAUAGCUCCAUUGAUUCCAAUAGAAUGUCACGGAUGAGCAUUCACUGGGGAUCUAGUCGAGAAUUACUUAGUUAAAUAAAUAAAUAACUAUGACUCAUCAUAUUAGAAUAUGCUGAAAACCUCAAGUAAUGGAUUCCUGGUGACACACAGCGGUGUCAUGUUGUACAGAGCAAUAAAUUACUUGGACUGUUCCAUGUUCUCUCCUGCAGCCGAUGGAAAAGUGAAAGCACUAAUGAGUCACCAGUAUUUUGGGGCAUAAAGCUACUGAGUCCAGCUCACCAUGAUUCACAGGGUGACAGACCUGGAUCCUGCAAUAUUUGAGUGGACCUUGCUCCUGGACAGAACUCAUUGCAAGAUCAGGGUCAUGGUCAUGGUCAUGGUCAGCACUGGGGUAAAACCUAAGUCUAAUGAAAAGUCAAGAGAACAUAGGGUCCUAAGAGUCAGGUUUUUAAAGGUAUUUAGGCACCUAAACAUGUCAAUGGGCACCUAGUGGGAUUUUCAAAAGCAACAAGGUGCAGAGUCAGUGCUAGCCCAUCAUGGGCCCUAAGCAGGAAUAUUUUGCAUGUCUCAUUUUUGUAUCUGGAGUUAUGAAUAUUGACUGUAUUUUAUUUGUAUUUCAAAUGUGGUUGCACCUGGGUGACACCCACUAGGCAAAAUGCUUCCAGUCUAGAUAGGUGGCUGUGAAGGGCCUAUUCAAGGUAAUGGGCCAUUAAGGAAAACAAUAGGCCUUAGGAGAAGCUUAUCUCCCACCCGAUGAGCCUUCCUGAGAACGCUUCAGACACCCUAUGGAUAAUGGCUGCUAUGACUCAGCAAGCUGUGCAAGGGCGUGUGACCUGCCCACAUGAUACUGAACUCCAUUUUGGUACCCAUAUUUUUGUACAAACUGGGCCGGGAACUUAGCUUGGAACAAAGGGUUCCAUCAUACGGAGACACUAUAAAAGGUGGGGAGUGACAUCAUGAUUUGUCUUCACUCCCCUACAACUGAACAUCUGAAAGAACCUCCAGAAAUCAAAGGACUCUGAACAGGGGAGAGGAACCCAGGCUGCACAGCAAAGGCAGCCUGUGCCUCAAGAAUCUGCAAGCCUGCUUGUGUCAUCAGUCAGGGUGAGAGAUGGAUAAUUCAAAUCCUAUCUGGUAUAUUAGGCUUAGCUUGCCUUUUUUGUUUCUUUGCUAGGUAAUCUGCUUUGAUAAAUUUGCUAUCACUUAAAAUCUGUCUUUCUGUAGUUAAUAAACUUGUUUUAUGUUUUAUCUUAA